ACGCCGCGUGCGGGAUGAAGGCCUUCGGGUUGUAAGCCGCUUUUGAUUGGGAGCAAGCGAGAGUGAGUGUACCUUUCGAAUAAGCACCGGCUAACUACGUGCCAGCAGCCGCGGUAAUACGUAGGGUGCAAGCGCUAUCCGGAAUUAUUGGGCGUAAAGAGCUCGUAGGCGGUUUGU
rnacentral:rRNA from 1 species